ACCCUGCUCUCCCAAAAGGGAAAAAAAAGAACACAUUUUGCUGGCUUGCCUGCCUGCUUACUAGAUGCCUGCUGGUUCACCUCGGACCCUGGUCUUUGACGCCGCGGAAGAACAGCCGGCUGGGGUCUGGCUGUUUAGGUUACGGGAGGGAGGGGAUGGGCCCCUCCAGCCUGCGCUCCACGCUGCCCCCCCAUUCACCCAGACUCACCUGGAGCCUUGGGGAGGGGUGGGAGAAAAUGAGGGCGAUCAUUUGGAUUUCCUGCCAGAAAAUUUAUUUAUGCUAAUUUAUGCUGCAUUUACCUGAACAGAAUUCGAUAUUUUUCUUCCCAAAUGCUGCUGUUUAUUUUUCGGGUAAUUGAUCCUUCUUACUUUUCCUGUGCUACCAGAUUGAGCGUUGCUGAGGAGGGCAGUCGUAAGUGGUAAAGCGCAUAUAUGUGAAAAACAAAAGCAGGGGAGAGGUUGCCCUGGGACAUUUCCUGAGGGAGCGGACCCUGUUCCUGGCUGAGAGAGCGUGGGCACCUCCAGCCACUCCACCACGCCACGGGACCAUGGUCUCGACGCGAAGUCCAGCCUGAGCUGACUCCCGGGGCUGGCGGUGUGUCGGGUGGGAGCGCAGGCUCUGGGUUGCCGGGCUGGGCUGCUGUUCCGCUCUGCAACCACUGCUUAGGUCUCUCGGGAUCCUGGAUACAGUCCCUCCCUCAAGAGGAAGAUCAGUGAGCGCCUACAUUAGGCAUCAUUUAGACAAAGAUGACCAAUGGAGGAACUAGGAGCUGUGCAUCAGUCCUGUCAGGAAGAAGGAAGGAGGACAGAUGGGAGAGUGUUUUGGUGAGCCAAACCCUCGUCUCUCCAAGUAGAAGCUCUCCGUCUGCUUCCAGCCUCCCAUUUCCAGCUGCCCUCAGGAAAUUGCCACUGGAUGUCCCCAAGGCACCUCCAACGCCACGAGCCUGAAACAAAGCACAUCCUCUCCUCUGUGCCGAGACCCCCUUCCUGCUGAAGGGGCCCUUAUCCUCCCAGCCCGUGGAGCUCCAGGUCAGAAGCAGCUUUGAUGGCACCUCUUCCUUCCUUCCUGAUGUGCCAGGAGUCGCCAAGCCCACAAAGCUUCCUUCCCAAUCUCGCUGGGGUUCGUCUCCCGCAGCACCUUGGCCUGAGUUCCAGCCCUCCUCCCCUCUCCUCAGGACUCAGGCCCCUUUCCAGUGCGCCCAGCACUGGCUGCCAGAGACAUCUGGCCCCUGCAGGACUCUUACCACAUACCCACCCAACAAGCUGCGGUGAUUCUCUUCGCCUACUGCUGCAAGUCCAGGGGCCCCGUAAAGCAGCCCCUCUCUGACUUCCUUUCCUGUCAGAUCUGUCUUCUCACCCAUCAUUCAGUUUCCUGUGCUCCUUCUGGCUAGAAUGCCCUCCCCCUUCGUGUAUCCAGCCGUAACUACCCAUGAGUCAA